UACAGAGGUCCCAAGCGUUGUUCGGAUUCACUGGGCGUAAAGGGUGCGUAGGUGGUAGGGUAAGUUUGGUGUGAAAUCUCCGAGCUUAACUCGGAAAUGGCAUUGAAUACUAUUCAACUAGAGGUUUGGAGGGGGGACUGGAAUUCUCGGUGUAGCAGUGAAAUGCGUAGAUAUCGAGAGGAACACCAGUGGCGAAGGCGGGUAGCUGGGCCGACACGUGACGCUGAGGAGCGAAAGCGUGGGGAGCGAACAGG
rnacentral:rRNA from 1 species